AACCUGAGCAUUCAUACUAAAAAUGCAGACAAAAGAAUUAGACUUUGACAUUUCGAUUGACGUCACUUUGAACGUCAAAGGACCUUUUAAGAUAAACAACAACGACAUUGAAGUUUGAGCUUUUAGACGGCUCGUUAUGCCGAACCGCACGUAGAUCAUCCAGGAUGACGUAUAGGUCAGAGUGAAAAGCGGGAAGUGCCAUCUAAAAUUUCACAAGAACUAUUUCUAGUUGGACGGGUCAGAUUUUUAUCUUUGUCAUCAUGGGGUAAAAGUAAAAAAAAGAAGGAAAAAGAAAGAAAAUGGACGAGCGUAAUUCUAGGAGCGUUAACGAUCGAACGUCUCUUUCUCCUUCACAUAGUACAACCAUACACCUGCGAUUACGUUACUAGCCAGAGUUCGCUAUACCUACUCGUCCGCGUCUUCGCAUACAUGUAUAUAUAUAUAUACAUAUGAAUAUGUGUACGUAUGUAUGUACGUAUGUACAUACGUAUUUACGUAGAUAUACGCACAUCUACACGUACUCAAGGAAAAGGAAAACGAGCAUACACCGACCGAUACCAGUCGGUACCUGCUAGUGUGAAAGUUAUUCCUGACGGCUAAGGCCGUUCUGCAUUUUUCGAAUAACGAGACAGCGAGUUGCCUGUUCGUAUAUAACCAUAUACCAUUAUCAAUAGAACGCUCAUACAAUAGCACAACCGAACGAAGAUCUUCUCAAACUUUCAAGAAUCGUAAGACCGCGUGCAUUUAACUAGAUGAAUGGACUUGGAAAAAUGACAAUAUUUUUUACAUCGUUCCUAACAAUUUUCUCUGGGUUUUUAUUUAUAAAUUAAACAUUAUAUUUUACGAUAAAACAACUGCUUUAAUCACCGAUAAUGGUCUUUGGUCGUGCAAAACAAAAGUUGCUUUAAAAUAUUCUUUAAUGUACGAACUUUGUGAAUCGACAUUUGUUUUCUUUAAAUCAUCAUAAUUAACAUUUAAUGUGCUUUUUAUCAAUUUAUCGAAAUCUUACGGGGGAAUGAGUUCGAUAAGAGUUCUAACUCUUGAAAUACGAAUGUCUCCGGUCUUAGCGAAAAUCUCCUACAAAAAAGAAGAAAAGAAAAAAAAAAUAGGAAAACAGAGGAUAAUAUACGAGUCCAUUUCCGUAGUAAUGUUUAUAAGGUCCGAGAGGAACCUAUCCCCUAGAGAAAUAUUCCUCCUCAUUCUGAUAGGCCGAGAUAAUCGCAAUUCGACACGACAGGCGUUUUCCACUCACGCUCGCAGCGAAAGGUUACUCGUAUAAAAAGGAAUCUCGCAUUCAUUAAUUUACUUUCUAGUAUAAAUUAAAUUAAUUAGUAUCGUCGUGAAACAACGAGACAAUUUUUUUCUCUUUUGAAAUUUUACGAUUUCGUUCUUUUUUCUUUUUUUUUUUCUUUUUUUUUUUUUUACCGAUUAAUUAUACUUAUUAGCUUCUGACAACUUUUAUAAACACACUAUUACUGCUUUUCCUUUCUUUAUAUAUUUAUUAUAGAGUUUCGGGACCUGAAACACUCCGUGACAGAUUUAUCACAUCACCGAGCUUUAUUUAUUAUUCAACAAAAAUGAGUUCGCGUCACUCUUAUUUUUGCGAUAACAACCAUAUACAUUCUCUUCUUGUUCUUCUUCGAAACGCAACGCAGAAAGAGAAGAACGAAUAGCGAAUCUGGUAAAGUUUGAUUAAGAAACGUUCAUUCCUUUGGCAAGCUUUUAAGGAUAGUCGCUUAAAAGUUGACAUUUUUUUCUUGAAAAGCACACGUUGUAAGUUAGAUUGGUCGGACGUUUUCAAUUAAACUCUUCGAUAAUAUUUUUCCAGAAUAGUCAGAUCGUUUGGCAAUCAAUCCCUGGACCGUUUUUCACUUUCGAACGUAACUAUUUCGAAUUGAAAUGUGCAAAGUAAUUAACGACGUACGAGACUAUCUUGAAAUUUAUAAGAAUUUUAUCAUUGAAGUAGCAUGAAUUUGUAUUGUGGCAUAAAAUUGUAGAUAUACGAUAAAGCAAAAUUUAAUAAUAGAUACCUUACAAACCGAAAAUUUCGAAUAAUAUAAUAUCGUAUUAUUUUGUACUUAAGAAAAGAAAAGAAAAAUAAAAGAAAAACAAUACAUAUUAUCUUCCCACUGUUUUGAUAAUAAUUAUUAUUCGGAAUAGUAUUGUUGUUUAGUCAUUUCAACAAAACUUUCCGUAAGAAUUUAGUAUACUAUAUAGAAAAAUGUACGAGGAUUCGCGCCGGAACUCAGAACUUCGGCACCUGUUGAUUCUUUCCUUGCAAUCUCGUGACAAAAAGUCCGAUGAAAACGGUACUUAAUUAUGUAUUUCACGAUACACAAUGAAGGACGGACUAAAACAAGUUUUCUAUGAAAAAUCGCACGUUCCAGUUUCUCCUGAAAGUGGCGAUGAAGUCGUAUUCGAUACUCCGAGAAAGUAUUCAGUUGUACAUCGUUUUGUAAGACCUCGUCAUUUCUUUCGAUUUUAUAUACGAUAAAGGUUAUUUCGUCGAUAUGGUUUCACCGACGUAAGUAAAAAAAUACUUUUACUCGUUCGACGAUUUGAUUUGGCAAGCACCUUUGAAAUCACCGACGCAACGACGAGACCCAUCGCAAACUAAGCGCAUUCAAAGGUCAAACAAAUACUAUACGAUAAAUCAUUUAUUGAGUUUUGCUUUCGAGUACAUUGCUCCCGUUUCUACAUUAAAAAAACAAAAGGCAGAAAGAAAGAAAGAAAGAAAAAACGUUUCAAUCUUGGCACAAGAUCGAAGGAUUUUAUACUUUCAAGAGAACAUUCGCCGUAAUGGAAUUCCGAAAUCGGUCGAGAGAUAUGGAUUUUGUUCUUUGAAGUAUUCCCUGACACAUUGUUUAAUAAUUUAAACGUAAUAUCUAAAUAUUCUAUUGACCUCUCAUCACUGAAAUUCCUCGUAUUAAAAAUUUACGAGCAGAUUUAAUAUUCGUCGAUCAGUUUCAAAGCCGCAUUCAUUAUCGUUUGUUUGUAUCCAGAUAAUAUAAAAAACCAAUAAAUCAAUGCUCCGGAAUGAUUUUCGCCUUCUCUCUGUGAAAAUCGUCGAGAAUGUAAAGUAAAAAGUAAUAAAGAGAAAUAAAAUAAAAGCCAAAAGAUAUUAAUGUAAUAAAAUUUUACAGUCACAGGUAGUAACAGAAGUAAUUCCUAUGGGAAAUAUCUGACUCUUAUAAAAGAAAACAAAAACAUAAACAAAAAAAAGAGAGAGAAACAAAUAUCUCGAGAGGG